AGCAAUUAUACAGCGAAACUGCGAAUGGCUCAUUAUAUAAGUUAUCGUUUAUUUGAUAGUACCUUACUACUUGGAUAACCGUGGUAAUUCUAGAGCUAAUACAUGCUACCAACCCCGACUCCGGAAGGGGCGUAUUUAUUAGAUCCAAAGCCAACGCCCUCCUGGGGCUCCUUGGUGAUUCAUGAUAACUCUUCGAAUCGCACGGCCUUGCGCCGGCGAUGGUUCAUUCAAAUUUCUUCCCUAUCAACUUUCGAUGUUUGGGUAUUGGCCAAACAUGGUCGCAACGGGUAACGGAGGGUUAGGGCUCGACCCCGGAGAAGGAGCCUGAGAAACGGCUACUACAUCCAAGGAAGGCAGCAGGCGCGCAAAUUACCCAAUCCCGACACGGGGAGGUAGUGACAAUAAAUACUGAUACAGGGCUCUUUAGGGUCUUGUAAUUGGAAUGAGUACAGUUUAAACCCCUUAGCGAGGAACAAUUGGAGGGCAAGUCUGGUGCCAGCAGCCGCGGUAAUUCCAGCUCCAAUAGCGUAUAUUAAAGUUGUUGUGGUUAAAAAGCUCGUAGUUGAACCUUGGGCCUGGCUGGCCGGUCCGCCUCACCGCGUGCACUGGUCCGGCCGGGCCUUUCCCUCUGCGGAACCACAUGCCCUUCGCUGGGCGUGGCGGGGAGGCAGGACGUUUACUUUGAAAAAAUUAGAGUGCUCAAGGCAGGCCUAUGCUCGGAUACGUUAGCAUGGAAUAAUGAAACAGGACGCGCGGUUCCGUUUCGUUGGCUCUAGGGACCGCCGUAAUGAUCGAUAGGGACAGUCGGGGGCAUCAGUAUUCAGCUGUCAGAGGUGAAAUUCUUGGAUUUGCUGAAGACUAACUACUGCGAAAGCAUUUGCCAAGGAUGUUUUCAUUAAUCAGGAACGAAAGUUAGGGGAUCGAAGACGAUCAGAUACCGUCGUAGUCCUAACCAUAAACUAUGCCGACUAGGGAUCGGACGAUGUUGUCUCUUGACGCGUUCGGCACCUUGCGAGAAAUCAAAGUGCUUGGGCUCCAGGGGGAG
rnacentral:rRNA from 1 species